rnacentral:misc_RNA from 1 species
GGAAGAGGAAGUUAUAAGAUUCAGAGAUGAUCGAUAGAGUAUUCUCCGUCGACGGAAUCUCCGAUCACUUCUGGACGUCGCCGGAGGAAUCGUCGAAGUUGAACCGGAGCGCAUCCGAAUGGUCCUUUCGGAGAUUUCUUCAAGAAGCUGCCUCCGUAUCGGAUUCCUCCAUUUCUCCGCCUCCGGCUUCGCCUUCCGCGGCGGAAAUUCGAUCUAACGCCGUCGAGAUUCGGGAGAAACAGAGUAAUCAGAACGUUGGAGUUAUGAAGGAAAGGGAAA